UGGAAGUCACCCGAACCCAGUGGGGGUCCGGCGCGACACAGUCAGAAAUCCGAUUCGAAGAAACGAGAAAGAUCACGAGACGAAACAGUCGGAUCUUUGCCCAGCGACGGGAACGGUCGAAUAGUUCCAUUUCUCACGGUAGCAGUGUCUCUCCCCCACGGCGAAUAUCCCAAGUCUCUCUCUGUCUCUCUCUCUCUCUCUCUCUCUCUCUCUCUCUCUCUCAAUGGAGUCGAUGGGUGCUCUUAUGGCUUCUCCCAUCUUCACUUCCUUCACAGUUCCCAAGCUUGUGGCCUGCAAGAACCCCCUCUUCCUUCCAAUUCAGGAGAACCCAUCUCCAUUUUUGGCCUUUUCUUCCAAUAGAUUUUCUCUAUGUGCCAAGAAAAAGACCAGCCAACCCGAACAACCCACUGUGGUAGAAGAUGAAUAUGAAGAAAUAGAGGAGGAGGUGGAGGAGGAGCUCGAUAGUGAGAUUUUUUUGGAAGAUGAUGAUGCUUUUGACUUUGAGGAAGAACCUGAACCAUCUGUGGGGGAUGGAGUUGGAGGUGGUGGGAUCGUUCAUGGUGAUGCACAGUGGGAAAAGGAAGCGCUGUCUAUUGCAAAAGAGGUUGUGAGUUCAUUCGAUGGGGAGCUGCAAAUAUAUGCUUUUAAGACAUCUCCCAACUUCUUAAUUCAAGUUAGGAUUGAGAGACUCAGUAAUAAGUCUGGUUCUCCUAGUAUGGAUGACAUCGAAGCUUUUUCAACUGCCUAUAGAGCACGGCUUGAUGAUGCUGAGCGUACUGGAGGUGUUCCAGAAAAUAUAUUUCUAGAGGUAUCCUCACCGGGUGUUGAGAGGCUGGUCAGGGUUCCAGAAGAGUUGGAUCGGUUCAAGGAAAGGCCAAUGUACGUCAGAUAUGUGACUGAGGCAUCUGGAACCAGCUCAGCAAUAGAGCAGGAUGGUGUAUUCAACCUUGAUUCUGUUGACUAUGAAGCAAGAGCUUGUACUUGGCGCAUGGCAAAUGUAAGGAAAAAUAGAGAGAAGUUGGGGAAGGGUAGGUCAUUAAGCAAAAAGCAGAAGGAGUGGCGGCUAACAAUACCUUUUGAGACCCUACGGCUUGUCAGACUGCAUUCUGACUGUUGAAUGACCAUCCAUUUGGUUCCGAACAUACUUGUUGGAGAUGAGAAGCAGGAGAUUUCGUUGUCAGUGCCUCUUUGAAACCAUACUUCAAUCCAUGGUAGCGUCAGGAGAUGAGAAACCUGAAUGGCAGUGAGAGGCCACCCCUUUUUGGAACAUUUAGUGAUGCCGGAAACCGUGGUGAAGAUAUGCAGUACUAGGAGCGAUCACGCAGUCACUCCAAGUAAAUCACGGUAAAGAUGGUAGUAGUCGCCAGGUUCGCAUGAAUAAUUCUCUUUCGCCUCUUAUAGAUGCGACUGAUCCCAAUGAUCAGGUGUUAUACCAGAAAAAGAUAACUGAUUUCCUCUGAUGGGGGCUAUUCAGUAAUGAAUUUAAUUUCACUAAU